rnacentral:rRNA from 1 species
CCCCUAGUAACUGCGAGUGAAGCGGGAAAAGCUCAAAUUUGAAAUCUGGCGGCUCUGCCGUCCGAGUUGUAUUCUGGAGAAGCGUCUUCCGUGCCGGACCGUGUACAAGUCCCUUGGAACAGGGCGUCGUAGAGGGUGAGAAUCCCGUCUUUGACACGGAUCCCCGGUGCUAUGUGAUGCGCUCUCGAAGAGUCGAGUUGUUUGGGAAUGCAGCUCAAAAUGGGUGGUAAAUUCCAUCUAAAGCUAAAUAUUGGCGAGAGACCGAUAGCGAACAAGUACCGUGAGGGAAAGAUGAAAAGCACUUUGGAAAGAGAGUAAAACAGUACGUGAAAUUGUUGAAAGGGAAACGCUUGAAGUCAGUCGCGUCUGCCGGAACUCAGCCUUGCUCAUGCUUGGUGCACUUUCCGGUCUGACGGGCCAGCAUCGGUUUUGGGCGGCGGACACUGGCGAGGGGAAGGUGGCAGCUCCGGCUGUGUUAUAGCCCCCCGUCGCAAACGUCGUCUGGGACCGAGGAAUCCGGCGCAAGCCUGGGAUGCUGGCGUAAUGGCUUUAAGCGACCCGUCUUGAAACACGGACCAAGGAGUGCUACGUGCUCGCGAGUGUUUGGGUGGAAAACCCGGACGCGCAAUGAAAGUGAAAGUCGAUACCCCUUGCGGGGGCAACGACGCCCGAGCCUGAUGUUUUCGGAAGGCCUUGCGGUAGAGCGAGUGCGUUGCGACCCGAAAGAUGGUGAACUAUUCCUGAGGAGGGCGAAGCCAGAGGAAACUCUGGUGGAGGCUCGUAGCGGUUCUGACGUGCAAAUCGAUCGCAGGACUUGGG